UACGAAGGGGGCUAGCGUUGCUCGGAAUGACUGGGCGUAAAGGGCGCGUAGGCGGAUGGUACAGUCAGAUGUGAAAUUCCUGGGCUCAACCUGGGGGCUGCAUUUGAUACGUGCUGUCUUGAGUUCGGAAGAGGGUCGUGGAAUUCCCAGUGUAGAGGUGAAAUUCGUAGAUAUUGGGAAGACCACCAGUGGCGAAGGCGGCUCACUGGCCCGGUACUGACGCUGAGGUGCGAAAGCGUGGGGAGCAAACAGG
rnacentral:rRNA from 1 species